rnacentral:lncRNA from 1 species
AAAACCUUCAGAACUGACUGAAGGUUUCUGAGUUGAUCCUAAAAAUGUAGCAGUUGUCUGUUUCAUAAAGCAGAACAAAAACAGAAUAAGAGAUCACUAAUCAUGCUUGAGAAUUCAUUUAAAUAAAAUUUCAAAAAUUGCCAAACACAGCAUAAACUAGGAUGCACUUGCUUAAGAUUCAUUUUCAGAAGGAAGUUUGUACUUGCAGCUCAUAAAAUCAUGUUUAUGUUGUAUGUUUAUUCAGCAAAUGAAAGAUUCCAAGUUUGCUGAAACCAUAUUAUUUUUUUACCAGGCGCCUUCCUGAAGGUAUCGACGUCAAUUUCAAAAAUGUUGGGGAUAAGUUGCUUGAUGCAGUGCUACACAAAUAUGAAGGAUUUCUUGUCGGUGAUUACUACCACCUCGAUAAAAAAAUUCAUGGAACUGGUCAUGCCGGCAAUAAAAGAAGGAAAGGUGGUAUACGUCGAAGACAUAGAUGAAGGCCUCGAGUCCAUCAGCCCUCGUUGGGCUAUUCACUUGUCGGAAUGUCAGGAAACAACUUGUUGAAGUUGCGUGGGAAUUUUAAAACUACCAUAUGUUGUAGAAAUGCACUGAGCCAUGUGCUUUCAGAGCUUUGUGAAGAUGUCUUGGCCAUGUGUUUGAUACAGGUUAUGCUUGUUCCAUUAAAUUGUAUGCACUUAUAAAUCAAAGAUUCAGAACAUGUGUAUGUUACUGGUUUCCAGAAUCCAGAUCAAUAAAUGCCUCCAUGUAGAAGUUCAAAUUUUAAAUUUUUUGAAGUAGAGGUGUAGAGUUUCUUUUUUCAAAAAAGAAAAAGUAAAUUCUGAAGACUUUCUUUAUUUAAUUUUACAAUCUUAUUUUAUUUCUUUUACGAUAUAUUUUUAAAAUACUUAUUUAGUAAAUUAUUAACAUCUAUACCACUAAAAGAUUUUUUUUGUUAAACGCUCUACUUACAAAGUUAUAUUAAUUAUAGAUUUACUCAAAGAAGCCCUAUUUAAAAAGUUACAGCAAAAAAAGUCAUAGUUACCUUUAGUAAAUAAUAAUCUUCUAAUCUGUCUUACAACGGACUUUUGACAAAAGUGUGCUACUCCCACCUCCUCAAAGUCCACCCGACACCCCGUCUUCUCUAUUUAAAAUUUUAUAUAGUUGAAAAUUAUAUUUUCUUUUACUUGACGCCCCUCCAAAUUCUAAAACUUAGCUUCGAUGAACCUUCUUCGUUAAAUCUCGUUGCUUUCCUUUUUUCUUGUUACUUGAGAAGAAGAACCAGAGUCUAGAAGAAUGAAAGAAAAUUCAGCGUGAUAGAAAUUUAGAAAUUUCAUCCGAUCUUUUUUUCUUAAAUUUUUUGGUAUUUUGAUUCGUUCAAUGGAUUCUUGAUCAUUCUUCAUUCUUUCUAGUUUCUACCAUGAUUCGGAAAUUUUUCUUAAAAAAACUACUACUCUUGUGUAUUUAAAAAAAAAGGAAAGAAAGAAAAAAGGCAUUAAUAAAGAAUUGCGCACGUAACAUUAUUAGUACCCUGUUGAUUGGUCGUUUGGUCUUCAAGAAAUGCUAGUUAAUAUGUGCUUGAAAUUAUAUUCUGCUUUUUUUUUCCCUAUGUAUUGUUUCCCGUUUGAUUACAUUUCAAACAUUUUUAACACGAAUGAAUGUUUUAACCAUUUUUGUCACUUCAUUAUUACAAUAAGCUGAUUGAAGUUAUCUGCGUUGGCCCUGAAAAUGUAAUGGACACUACUCCGUUUACAUAAAACAGGACAAAACAUCGAUAUUUCUACCAUUGCCAUACAUAGUAUAGCCUAGGAAUACAUUUCCAUAAUUAAUAUUUAUUUCAGAAGGAACUUUUCACUUGCAGCUAACAGAAUCAUGUUAAAUUUAUGAUGUAUGUUUAUUUGGGAGAUGAAAGAUUCGCUGCAUUAUUUUAUUCCAAGUUUGCUGAAAUCAUAUUUGUUUUCCCGGCUGCUUUCCUGAAUGUAUCGACAUCUAUUUCGAAAAUGUCGGGGGUAAGAUGCUUGGUGCAGUGCUACUCAACAUGAGAAUUCAUCUUCUAACUCGUUACCUGAUAUUAUUGUCUUCUUGAAAAUUUAAUUAAGCUUAGAAGUCCCUUAACCACAAAAUCAAUGGAGUUUAACUCUAUCGAUAGACAACUUUUAAGUAAUAAACCAACACAUGAGUUCAUCUCUAUUGAUACUCAAGUUCUAAGUCCCUUAUUCAAUACUAAAAUCCAUGAGAAUUAAACUAACCGUAGUUUAACAUGUGAUUAACAAAUGGUAAAAGGUUCAAAAAAUACAUCAAUUAUAAAAGAAAUAAAAUCAGCAAAGAGACCACAUCAGAAAUUUCUUAGAUGUCCGAAACUAUUAAAAGAAUUCACAUACCAAAUCAAAAAAAGUAGAAAAUGCUUAAGCUCCUUAAGGUAAUUUGAAGUAUGAAAGUGAAUGGCAUAUAAUCCAAUAUAAAAAAAAAAUGGUUUUAGUGCCGUAUAAAGAGAAGUUAAUGGUGGUUACAGAAGUGGGGAAAGUUGAGUACAAAUCAGAUAAUGGGAGGUUCCUAAACUUCCUUAAAUCAAUUUUAAUUUCAAAAAUAAAAUAAUAAAAAAUAAAAAAUAGCAUAAAAGAAAUAAGAUAAAAAUUACUUUUCUAAAAUUGCAUGCAAGUAUACAAAAAUAACAUAUGUUGAUAUUACAUCGAGAAAGGUCCAUCAGCCCUAGUUGGGCUAUUCACUGCAUAGAAUGUCGGAGAACAACUUGUUGUGGUAGCUGUUGGGAAAAUAUGCUCUUUAAAAGCAUGUGUGUUUAUUUAAAUGUAAUAAACAUUUUUUCUGAUUAAUAAAAAUAAUGAGGUAUUUUGUGCAAAUAUCUUAAUUGCAUUAAUAUUUUUAUUAAAGUCCAUUUAAUCAUAUUAUAUGUAUUUAUGUGAUCACCAUGUGGAUUCACAGAAGACAUAAAAUACAAGUUAUCUUAUGAUUAAAUAAAUUUAGUUCGCAGUUGAUAAAUAAAGUUGUGCACUUUAUUUAGGUAUAGAUUGUAAUAAAUUCAUUGAAUGAUUUGUCUUAAUCAUGUAUGAAUUUAUUGAUGUAGUACGACUACAUUGAACAGGAUCACAUAUGAGAUUUAAUUAACCUUGAAAUGACUGUCAGACUUAUUAAAUCUCAUUGGCAUUGAUUUUACUGUAAUCUUAAUCUUGAGUUAGUUAUGAUUUCAUGAUUGUAAUUGUUAUUCCAUUUGAGUUACCAAUGGGCAUGACACAUACAUGUAGUCUAGAUUACUCGGUAUCUUGGUGGGAGCAUUUAUGAGUAUUGGAGUUAUAGAUUAACAAUAUAGAAUUUGUACAACACAUCUCUUGAUGGGUUUUCGGCACUUGAUCAUAGAAUUCUCUAGCCAGAGUGUGUCAACAUAUUUAGUAUGUUGAAAAUGAUCAUUAGAGAAAACCAGUAAAGAUCAAGGAAUAAGAUGUUAUUAAAUUGAUUGGACAGUUGAGAUAUCAAUUUAAUUAACGAUGUGGUACAAAGGAUUGUGCAGUAAAGAAAUCAAUGUGGCUUGGGACGAAUUAUUAUUCGAGCAUACAAUUAUGGAAGUCAGUUCCAAUCUUUUAGUGGAGUAGAUUUGGAAUUAAAUAAUUGGGCUAGUUUAAUUAUAGGCCUAAUUAUUGUAGCCACUAUUGUAUGUUCCCAAAUGAUCCCCGGGUUAGCUCAUUUAAUUGACUGCACCACUACUGGACUAAUAAGCAAGAUAACUAGCUAUUUGGGUCAAAAGCCUAAAUAUAUCAUUUAGUGGGAGGCUCCAUUUAAUUAGUUUAUGUGUAAGGGGUCUUAUGUUAUUUUACAUGGUGGGUCCCCUAUAAAAUAAAAAGUAACGUGAGUUUUAUUUGUGAGCCUAGGGUUUUCACUAAAGGGAGAUAUAUAAGGCUUAUUUUCUCUAAAGAAAAAGGUGAAGCCACUUUAUACAGAUCAGAGAAUAAGAUUUUUCUCUCUAUUGUUGAGAGAAAAAUUUUCUCGUGCUAGUUGCUUUGGUAGUGAUAAAGGCGCCCACACGUCAAGUGCAGAUCGUACUUGAGUCAUAACCUGGAAGAUCAUUGGUGACAGUUCGUGAUCUAACAAGCGUGGUGGUGACGGAUCGUGAUCUAACAGGAGUGGUGGUGGCGGAUCAUGAUCUAGGAGCUUAAAUCACUUCAGCGGAAAAAGCUAACUCGGAUUUUCAAGGUACGAUUUCUAGAAUACAAAUUCUUAUAUAUUAUAUGAGAGCGAUCUUCAAAAGGUUUUAUAAAAAAUUUAAAAACCUAAUUUUUCCCCAACAAUUGGUAUCAGAGCCAUCUCAUAUUAAUAUAUAAGAAUUUCGUAUGAAAUUAAUCUUGAUAUUUAUGUAUUAGAGUGGCACAAUUUAUUCAGAUAUAUAUUAUUUGUUUAAUAUAUGAAUAAAGCAUGUUUAUGGUUUGUCUUAAUUCAUGGUUAGAUUUUCUGUUGUAUUUUUCGUUUGGAUCUUUAACAAGAGGGGUGGUUUUUAUCACAAUGUUUCCCUCUUGAUUUAUUUUACUGUUAUAGAAUUUUUGUAAGCCAAAAAUUGGCCUAGGAAAUUUGUAAAUAAAUCACGGAUGACAAAUCAAAGCGACGGAGGCCGGAAAUUUCGACAUCGACCGCUGACCAGCGCACUCGCUACAACCAACGAGCGGCACACGCUGCAAGCGCAUGCUGGCAGUGCGCGCAGCAAGCAGCGCGCGCGGCCAGCCUGGCCAGCGGCGCGCGUUCCAGCAAGCAGCGCGCGCAGGGAUGGUUUGUUUCCGGCAUAUCGGCAACGGCAAACUCGACGUUGAUAGCGGCUGUCCGAUGAGAUUGGCCUGAACAGUGGCCGUUUGUGGAGAUGGCGACUGGGGAAGAAGAAAGAAAGAAAAAUAUGGAUUUAGGGUUUCAUGGCUUUUAUCAUGGAGAUCCCUAUGGUUCCAUAAUUUUUCACUUGGGCAAUUAAGUUUUAAUUUUUUGCAUUUAAGUCUAAAAAUAGUUUUCGGCUUAAAGAAUCCUAGUUUUAGGUCCAAUUGAAAUUUGGGCUUAAUGGAUUAAAAAUGCAUAGAUAAAAUUAAAUACAUUAAAAUUUAUUUUUGGUCCAAAAGUUUUAUUUUAAUAAAAAAAAUUAUUUAUUUAUUUAUUUCCUUUAAAAAUUAAAAUUGGACCAAUUAGAAAUUAUUUAUUUAUCUCUCAUUUGUACUUGGGAGACAGUCUAUUGUAAGUAGUGUGUAUUUUUGCAUGUCUAGGAAAGUUCUGUCAACAAAGGCGAUAAGUGUAUAAGGAUUCUGGUUUUUAAUUGGGACCAAGUUCCCAUCUAGUUUCCUGGAAACUUUCUUGGUGCAUUUAUUCACGCGAAAUUAACAUCAUAGAGACUGUUUUUCAAGUGAAAAUAGUUCGUUGAGAAAAUGGUAGAAGGUGAAACUUUCAAAAUUGGGGAGAGAUCUACCGAGACUAUUUCAGGAGACACUUCAGGUGGGAGGCGAGAUUUGUCAAAUCGCUAUUCAGCACCUGUAUAGAAGGCCAGAAGAUCGAUGUUGAAAAGUUUGAUGGGAAAAUCAACUUCGGCAUGUGGAGGCGCGAAGUUAUGGAUGCCCUUAUUCAAAUCGAUCUCGAUGUUGUUCUGAAAAAUAAAAGACACUUGUAUGAUGAAGAAAUUUGGGAUCGUAUGAAUGAAAAAGCAUGUGGUCAGAUCAGAUCUUGUUUGACCAAGGAGGUGAAAUACUUGGUGAAAGAUGAGGAGUGUGCGGUGACUUUGUGGCGUACAUUGGAGGAGAAGUACCUGGUGAAAAGUCCUGAAAAUCGCCUUCAUGCAAUGAGCCAAGUAUAUGGCUUUCGAAUAAAGUCUGGGGUGUCAAUGCACGAUCAUGUUUUAAGAUUUGAAAAGUUACUUGCUGAUUUGAAGAAUCUUGAUGAAGAUAUUAAGGAUGAAGUCAAGGCUAUGAUUCUGUUACACUCACUACCAGAGGAAUAUAGCCAUUUUGUGACUACUUUAAUAUAUGGGAAGAGUGUGAUCAUCUUUAAAGAUGUUUGCACAACAUUGACUAGCUUAGAGAUUCGAAAUAAUGAUAAAAAUUCUAAACGAGCAUCGUCUGAAGCUUUGGUGAGUAGAGAUUGGGCGAUGGAGAAACAAAAGAAGCGUGGUGGAAAGAAUUCUCGAUCCAAAUUGAAAAGCAGAAAUAUAGCUCGAGAUGAGUGUGCCUUUUGUCAUGAAAAGGGCCAUUGGAGGAAAGAUUGUCCAAAGGCUCAAAAGAGAGAUGGGAAGAAACCAGCAGCAGCAAACAUGGCACGGAAAGAUGAGGGCUCUGAUUAUUCACUAAGUAUUACUCUUGCAGCAUACGUGGCUAGUUCGAGUGAGUGGAUACUUGAUACUGGAGUGGUUUACGGAUUUUUAUCAUUUGUGUCCUAUUAAGGAAUGAUUUACGGAUUUUCGUAAUCUGGAAUCCGGUGCAGUUGUGAUGGGGAAUGAUCAACCUUGUCGCACAAUGGGGAUAGGAACAAUUCGGCUCAAAAUGUUUGAUGAAAUGAUCAGAGAACUCAAAGAGGUUAGAUUUGUUCUAGCUUUAAAGAAAAAUCUAAUUUCUGUGGAUUUCUGUGGGUGCUUUGGAAGCUAAAGGCUACAAGGUUACCAUUGAAGAUGGUAUAAUGAAGUUUACACAUGGGGCUAUGGUGAUUCUGCAAGGGGUUCGGUGUCACAAUCUGUACUAUUUGAAGGGAGGUACAACUGAUGAAGCAAAUGUUGUUAAGGCGCACAGUGACACCACCAAGCUAUGGCAUGUACGAUUGGGACAUGCUGGAGAGAAGUCUUUGCAAACUCUGAUGAGGCAUGGACUCUUAAAAGGUACCAAAACCUGUAAAUUAAAUUUCUGUGAGCAUUGUGUAGUAGGCAAGAAAACAAGGGUCAAGUUUGGUAUAGUUAAUCACGAUACUCGUGAGAUUCUUGAAUAUGUUCAUAGUGAUGUAUGGGGACCAACCAAGACUGCAUCAAUUGGUGGAAGCCAUUACUUUGUUACAUCUAUUGAUGAUUUCUCUAGACGUGUGUGGGUGUACACCAUGCGAGCAAAGGAUGAGGUUCUAGAGAUUUUCGUGAAAUGGAAGAAAUUGGUGGAGACUCAAACUGGCAGAAAGAUCAAAGUAUUACGAUCUGAUAAUGGGGGUGAAUAUACUUCUGAUCCAUUCUUACAAGUAUGCCAGAACGAGGGUAUUAAAAGACAUUUCACGGUGAGACAUACUCCGCAACAGAACGGUGUGGUUGAGCGUAUGAAUCGUACUUUACUGGAGAAGAUACGGUGUAUGUUAUCUAAUGCUGGUUUAGAUAAAAAGUUUUGGGCUGAAGCUGUGAGCUACGCAAGUCACUUGGUAAACCGGUUGCCUUCUGCUGCAAUUGGAGGUAAAACUCCUAUGGAAAUGUGGUCUGGAAAGCAUGCACAAGACUAUGAUUCCCUUCGUGUAUUCGGGUGUUCAGCUAAUCAUCAUGUCAAAGAUGGUAAACUGGAUCCUCGUGCUAGAAAAGCUAUCUUUGUGGGAUUCAAAGGUGGAGUAAAGGGCUUUAAGCUUUGGGAUCUCGAAGACAAAAAGUUUGUGUGUAGCAGAGAUGUCACAUUUGAUGAAGCUUCAAUGAUGAAAGCGUCAAGUUCUCAGCAGGUGGAGAACAAGACCAAAAAGGUAUUGCAGCGGGUGGAGUUUGAUGCAACUCCAUAUGUACCAGUUAGUUCUACAUCAAAUAAGAGUUCAACUAUGGAGGUGACACCUAGAGUUGAAGAAGAGGUCAUUUUUUCUGAUGUCUCACAAAAUGAAGAAACAAUUGAUGAUGUAGAUAAUGAUGAUUUUAUAGCAACAAGGAGGCCAAGAAGAGAGAUAAAGAAACAGGGAUGGCUUACUAAAGAUAUGGUGGUAGCAUAUGCACUUCCAGUUAUUGAUGAUGACAUCCCCAACACUUUUUGUGAAGCAUUACGCAGCAGUGAAAGUGAUCAGUAGAAGUUAGCCAUGGAGGAAGAGAUGAAAUCUCUCCAUCAAAACCAGACUUGGGAACUUGUAAAGUUACUAAAUGGGAAAAGGGCUAUUGGUAAUAAAUGGGUCUACACCACAAAGCAAGGAUCUCCGAAUCAAACAACUCCUCGAUACAAGGCAAGGCUCGUGGCAAAAGGUUUUGCUCAAAAGGAAGGUAUUGACUACAAUGAAGUUUUCUCCCCAGUUGUAAAACAUACUUUCAUUCGUAUCCUACUUGCCGUCGUUGCAGAAUAUGAGUUAGAGUUGGCUCAAUUGGAUGUUACGACGGCGUUCUUACAUGGAGAUUUGGAAGAGGAAAUCUAUAUGAUUCAGCCUUGUGGUUUCAAAGUUGCUGCAAAGGAGAAUCAUGUGUGUAGGUUGAUUAAAUCUUUGUACGGACUGAAGCAAUUGCCAAGGCAGUGGUACAAAAGAUUUGAUCAAUUUAUACAAGGGCAGAAAUUCACCAGAAGUGAACACGAUCAUUGUGAUUACUUUAGAAGACUACCAGAUGGAGCUUUCAUCUAUUUGUUACUCUAUGUCGAUGAUAUGCUUAUAGCUUCGAAGAAUAGAGAUGAGAUCGAAAGAUUAAAGAAGCAGCUGGCUUCUGAGUUCGAGAUGAAAGACUUGGGUGAUGCACAGAGAAUACUUGGGAUGGAGAUUCGUAGAGACAAGAAGAAUGGGAGCGUAUGAUUGACUCAAAAGUCUUAUUUGAAGAAAGUGCUAGAAAGAUUCAGUAUGGAUGACAAAACUAAACCGGUAUGUACACCUCUAGCUCCUCAUUUCAAAUUAAGCUCUUCUUCAUGUCCUAGAUCUCAAGAAGAGCGCGAUUACAUGGCUCGUGUUCCAUAUGCUAGUGCUGUGGGUAGUCUUAUGUAUGCUAUUGUAUUCACAAGGCCCGAUAUAUCUCAAGCAGUGAGCAUGGUUAGUAGAUACAUGCACAAUCCGGGUAAAAAUCAAUGGCUUGCGGUAAAGUGGAUUCUCCGAUAUUUGUAUGGGACAGUUGAUGUUGGGUUAUUAUUCAAGAAAGAUUGUGGUCAACAAUGUGUUGGGUAUUGUGAUUCUGAUUUCGCUGGAGACCUUAACAAGAGAAGAUCAACAACGGGCUACGUAUUCACAUUGGGUGGAGGUCCGGUUAGCUGGAGAUCGAUUCUACAAUCGACAAUUGCUCUAUCCACUAUGGAAGCAGAGUAUAUGGCAGCAAUUGAAGCUGUAAAAGAAGCUAUCUGGUUGAAAGGCUUGUUAGGUGAUUUGGGAGUAAUCCAGGAGAACAUUACGAUCUUCUGUGAUAAUCAAAGUGCGAUAUUCCUUGCAAAGAAUCAAACAUAUCACGCUCAGAUGAAGCACAUAGAUGUGAAAUAUCAUUAUGUGAGGGAGAUUAUCGAGAGCGGUGUUGUGUUGUUGAGAAAGAUCGAUACCAAAGAUAAUCCAUCAUAUAUGUUAAUGAAGGUAGUUUCUGGAGUUAAGUUUCAACAUUGCUUGAAACUAAUUCAAAUCCUUCGAUUGUGUUAAGAUAUGUCCUUCGGAAAUUUUGAACUACGGUUGGCUUGAUCCCAAAUUUUGGGUACGUUUGGCAGUCACAGAGAUACAGCCACUUUGCGGAUGAUGAUUGGUUGGGAGUCGGCUCAGAUUUGAACAAACCUUCGCCGAGGUGGAGAAUUGUUGAAAAGUCAAAGAAUUGCUUGCCAAUUUCAAAAGCAAAGUUGGUGGGUUUGCCAAAUUCAAAAAAACAAAGUUGGCCGGCUUGCUAAUUUCAAAAGGCAAAGUUAGGUGUUGAAAAACUUGUACAUGCAAUAUAAGAUCCAGCUCAACGUUUUGACCAAAUGAACCCAACUUGGAGCAGAAUGCACUCUAUAAAUAGAGAAGCAUUUUGCAAUUGUCAAUCAUCCCAACAAUUUGUUAAGCUUAUAAAUUUCUAAGCUUUUGAGAGUUCUAAGAGUGUGAAUAAUUGGAGAGUGUGUGUGAGAGUACUUGGUAUAUUUGGGUUCUGGGAAAGUGAGAUUUCUUUACUCAAAUAAUUAUUAAUAAUAUAAUUAUUUUUCUCUUGCUUCCGUGGACAUAGGCAUAUUGUCGAACCACGUAAAUUUUGUGUCCUUUAUUUUUCAGUAAUUAUUUGGUGUGUUUGAUUCCGCAUUCCGCGCACAACACCUACAGGUGACUAAUUAAUGGGAAAUUGACAAUGACAAAAGCAAUUUAUGAGUUUUGUAGGCUGGCAUGCCUAUGUUAUAGCAUUGUUCGAUGAACUGCCACACCACAUGUUUUUGACGAGAAAUAAAAACAUCAAGAUAUUGCCCGCUUGCCGUAUUCCACAUCGUGAAUUGUAUCUCUGUUCCUCAAUUUUCAGUGUUCCAUACAUAAAACCAUUUUCAGUUUCUCUUGUUAUCAAUUCAAUUUUCUUGUUCGUGACGAUCUUGAUUCCUUUCUUUCUGGUAAAACGGAGCCAUGUUUGCUGUUGGAGAGGUCUUCCUCAACGCUUUCUUUCAGGUGUUGUUUGACAGGUUGGCUUCUCGUAAUUUGCUCAGCUUUGUGCGUCAACUCCAAGGCGGGGUUGAUUCGGAGCUCAAAAAGUGGGAGAAAAAGCUGAAGAUGAUUCAGGUUGUGCUUAGCGAUGCAGAGGAGAAGCAACUGACUGACGAGGCUGUGAAGAUGUGGCUGGACGAACUCCAAGACUUGGCUUAUGACGCUGAGGACAUUCUUGAUGAGUUUGGUACUCAAGCUUUGGAAAGGAAGUUGAUGGCGAAAAAUCAGGAUAGCACUGGCCAGAUUCUUAGUUUCAUACCGGCUAGUUUGAAUCCGAAUGCUAUUAUGUCCAAUUAUAGCAUGGGAUCCAAGAUUAAAGAUAUUACUAGCCGGUUGGAGCAACUCUGCCAAUAUAGAAUUGAACUUGGGCUGCAACGGAUUGCUGGAGGGGCAUCAUCACCUACUGCUGCUGCACACCAGAGGCCACCCAGUUCAAGUAUCACAACAGAGCGUGAAGUAUUCGGAAGAGAAGAAGAUAAGGCCAAAAUUCUUGAUAUGGUAUUGACCGAUAUUAGAAUUCGUAAUAAGAUGUUUGGAAACAAAGAAAAACAGAGAAAAUGAAAAAGGAAACUUCACGAUUUAUUAACCAGAAUAUUCAAUGCUUAUUAAGCUUACUUAGCUAAGCUUAUAUACAAUUAUUCUAACUAAUUAAACAACUGCAAAACAACUAAUAACAACUUCAGAUUUAGUUUAGCCAUUGAGCUCUUGCCACAUGUCAUUCAGUUACAUUCAAUCUUGUCCAGCUCAGCAGCUCUGUCCAGCUCAGCAGCAACUAUAUCUUCAACAUCCCCCCUCAAGCUCAACCGAGGAAGUAAGGUUGAGCUUGUCACGUAAGUAGAGAAAAGGGUGAUAAGAAAGAGCUUUGGUGAGAAUAUCAGCAGUUUGUUCUGAGCUAGAAAUAUAUUGAACCUUAAGACAUUGAGCAGCAACUUUCUCUCGAACAAAAUGAACAUCUAAUUCAAUGUGUUUUGUUCUGGAAUGAAACUUAGGAUUAGAGGCUAAAGCAGCUGCACUUUGAUUAUCACACCAUAUGAUUGGAAUGGAGGGAAGAGUAAGACCAAUCUCAGCAAGAAGAGAACGAAUCCACAAGACUUCAGCUGCUGCCAUUGCUAGUGCUCGAUAUUCAGACUCAGCACUAGAUCGAGAGACCACUGCCUGUUUCUUAGAGCACCAAGACACUAGAUUUGGACCCAUAUAGACACAAUAACCAGCCACUGACCUCCUAUCAUCUCUGUCUCCAGCCCAAUCAGCAUCACUGAAACAAUCAAUCUGUAUGCUGCCAUGAUUGUAGAACUGUAAACCAAGAUUAACAGUACCCUUCAGAUAUCGUAAAACCCUUUUACAAGCCUGCCAAUGAUUGACAGUUGGAGAAGAUAGAAACUGACUGAGCUUGUUGACAGAGAAAGCAAUCUCUGGUCUGGUCAAUGUUGCAUACUGAAGAGCACCUAUGGUGCUUCUGUAUAGAGUAACAUCAGAAAAGGGUUCACUAUCAGCUUUAGUAAAAGCCACUCCAGAAAGCAUAGGAGUAGAACAAGGAGUACUAUCCUGCAUGUGCACCUUGGCAAGCAAAUCAGUGAUAUACUUGGAUUGAGAAAGAUGAAUACCAGAUUUAUUGUAAAUGACCUGAACUCCCAGAAAAUAAUUCAAUGCACCAAGAUCUUUAAGUGCAAAAACAGACUGGAAGUUGGUGAUGGUCUGCUGAACAAGCUGAGGAUUGGAGCCUGUAAUAAUAAUAUCAUCUACAUACACCAAGACAAGUAGCAGAUGACCUUGUGUGCUCUUAAAGAAGAGUGAAGUGUCUGAAAUAGAAUUUGUAAAGCCCCACUGAGUUGUAAGAACUAGUUUGAGUCUGUCAAACCAUGCCCUUGGAGCCUGUUUAAGGCCAUAAAGAGCUUUGUGCAGCUUACAGACAUAAUCAGGCCUGGAACUAUCUAUAAACCCCUCAGGCUGUUGCAUAUAAACUUCUUCAGUGAGGUAGCCAUUAAGGAAGGCAUUAUUAAUGUCUAUUUGCCUCAGUACCCAAUGAUUCAUGACAGCCAUACUCAAGAUAAUUCUGAUGGUUGAAGACUUAAUGACAGGACUGAAUGUUUCAUGAAAAUCCAGCCCUUGAGUUUGGUGAAAUCCCUUAGCAACAAGUCUAGCUUUGUAUCUAGAGACACUGCCAUCAGGAUUAUAUUUAAUCCGAAAUACCCACUUAUUCCCAAUUACUUUAAUGGGAUGUGUAGGUUUGACAAGAGUCCAGGUAUGAUUAUUGACUAAGGCUUGAUAUUCAUCUGUCAUUGCUUUAUGCCAAGCUGAAUCUUGAAGGGCUUUUAAGGUAGUAGCAGGUUCUGUAGGUUUGGUAGGAUUGGCUGUAAUAUAGGCUUUAGGUUUGAAGAUACCAGCCUUUGAUCGAGUGAGCAUUGGAUGACCAGUAGAUGACUGCAAUGGUGGAGUUAAAUGAUGAACAGGUGAGGUAGAUGGUUCUGAGUGUGAUUGUAUAGAAGAUUGAGAAGGAGAGUCUGGAGAGGAUUGAGAGAACCUGAGAUCAGCUGCUGUAGAGGAUGAAGACUUGGUUAUAUCAAGUUGAAUCAAAGGACAAACAGAAGAUGAACAAUGUGAAGAAGACUGAGAUGAAUGAUCUGAAGAAGAGCAAGAGUGACUGACAGAGGAAAAAUCAACUCCUGACUGAAAAGGAAAACAUGACUCAUCAAAUGUAACAUGGUUACUGACAUAGAUUCUACCAGAGGAAUGAAGACACAAGUAGCCUUUGUGAAGGGAGCUGUAACCAAGAAAAAUACAUCUAGCAGUUCGAAACUCUAACUUAUGAUGAUUAUAAGGCCUCAGAUAUGGGAAACAAGCACAUCCAAAAACUCUCAUAACAGAAUAAUCUGGUCUUUUGUUGAAUAAUUUUUCAAAAGGUGAUUUGUUAUCCAGAAUGGGUGUAGGGAGCCUAUUUAUGAGAAAUGUGGCAGUAUGGAAAGCAUUCCACCAAAAUUUCAGUGGUAAAUGUGCUUGAGCAAGAAGGGUAAGGCCUGUUUCCACUAUAUGUCUAUGUUUGCGUUCAAUCUUUCCAUUUUGAUGGUGAAUAUAAGGACAAGGAUGUCUAAAUUGGAUUCCCUGCUCAGCAAGAUAAGGAAGAAAUGGCCUAAAUUCACCUCCCCAAUCUGUUUGAAGACACUUGAUUUUCCUAUUUAGGCAUUUUUCUAUCAUAUGCUGGAAUUCAAUAAAGGUUUGUAAGGCUUGAGAUUUGGUAACAAGAGGGAAUAUCCAGGUGAACCUAGUGAAAUCAUCUAAGAUGGAAAGAUAGUAGUGAUAGCCUUGAGAGGACAGCAAAGGAGCUGGACCCCAUAGAUCAGCAUGCAACAGCUCCAGUGGUUGAAUGGUAGUGGUGUCUAUAGAAGGAAAAUGCUGCAUGUGACACUUUCCAAAUUGGCAAGCAUUACAAAAAAUUGGUUUCAGGGCUCUAUUGAUAUCGAGAGAAGGAUGCAAAUGCUUCACAAUUUGUUUAAGAGCAUGCACAGUUGGAUGACCCAUUCUUUUAUGUAAAACAUUGUAAUCAACUGAUUUUGAAUGAGUAACAGACAAGGCCAUUGAGGCAUCAUUAUUGAAUUGAGAAAUAUUUACAUCUGUCAAAAUUUCUCCAGAAUGUAUAGAGUUUGAAACAUUGGAAUGACUAAUCAUUGACACUGGAGAGGAACAGACAUUUGACACAGAACUGGAAUUUGAGAUGACACAGAAAACAUUAGACGGAACUCUAUUUGAAACUGCAGCAUGAGACACUACAACAGGACCUUCAACUUGAUAUAAUCCUCCUCUAGCAAUCCCCUUGAGCAAGAUGAUCCCUGAUUUCUUGUCCUUGACAAAACAGGAGGUUUUAUGGAAUUCAACAACAACAUCAUUGUCAGCAAGUAAUUUAGAUACACUUAAAAGGUUUUUGGUUAUAGUUGGGACAUGCAAAAUAUUAUUAAGAUAGAUAGAUGUUGCAGCAAGUGUAUUCAAUCGUGUGCACCCAACAUGUUUAAUAUGUAAUCCCAUGCCAUUUCCUACAUGUAGCUUAUCAAAACCAUGAUAAACUGAGUAAGAAGAAAAGAUACCUGCUUCCUUAGUCACAUGAUUGGUUGCCCCGGAGUCAAUAUACCAAGCAGGAUCAGCUACAACUCCAUAAUCAGCAACUGGACCAGUGGGAGCAAAUUGUGCAGUGGGAAUAGCAGAAGGAGCAACUCCAUAGUUAGCAAAUGGAGUAGCAAUUGCACCAUUGUAUUGACCUUGUAAUCCUUGAAACACAAGAAACCCUUGAGGAUACAUAACAUUUGCAUUCUGAUAUGCAACAUUCCCUUGAAACAUGGGUGCAUUAUAUCUAGGAGCACCAGUUGCAGUUCCAUAAAAAUUUCCAUAACCUCUUCCAAACAUGUUCUGAGGCUGACCAGGAAAGCCUCUAAAAUUGAAUCCACCUCUAGGCCUAAAGCCACCUCUUCCUUGUCUAGGAAUAAAGUUCUGAUUAAAUCUGUUCCUGCAUUUGUAUGCUCCAUGACCAGGUAUGAAGCAUAUUUGACAAAUUACUUCCUUAUCAACAUUAUAUCCUCCUUUGCCAUUAUCAAAAUUUCCACCAUUAAAACCUCUCUGAUUAGCAUUAUUGAACUUAUUGUAAUUCUGUCCUUUCUGAGCAAAAUUAGCUGACAUAUCAUGCAACAAUUCAUUUUGCACCUUUCCCUUACUCAUCUCAACCCUAGUUUCAUGACUAAGCAUUAAGGAAUACACUUCUUCAAUAGUGAGAUUAUCUUUUUCCAGCCUAGCAAGUAUAGUUGUCACUAAUGACUCAUAGUUGUCAUCUAAACCAGUGAGCAAAUGCAUUAUAAAAUCUGUUGAAGCAAGAGGAUUACCACCAAUAGCUAAGCUAUCUGCAAUUUUUUUCAUCUUAUUGAAGUAAUCACUUACUGACAUAGCUCCUUUCUUUGUGGUUUGAAUCUGCAUUUUCAGAGGCAUGUAUCUAGCCUUUGACUGUGACAUGAACAUCUCGGCAAGUUUCUCCCAGAUCUCAAGUGAAGUAUCACAAUCCACAACCAUGAUAAGUACAUUGUCUACCAUAGAUGACAGCAUCCAGCUCUGUAGAAGCUUGUCAGCUUUCUUCCAGUCAAUAUAGUCAGAAUUUUCACGUCUGCUUGAGCUAGGAGCUUCUGAUCUACUGGCAGCAUUCUCAUAUGAGGAAAGAAAACGAUCUGGACAAGGAGAUUCUCCAUUGAUAAAACCUUCAAGUCCAUUGGCAAUAAUCGAAGCUUGAAUUUGAGCUCUCCACACCAGAUAAUUUGUUCGAUCAAGUUUUGUUGGUUGAAUAAAAGAAAAAGAAAGUGAAGACGAUCCUGAAUUGCUUUGAUUCGUCAUGUUUCGUGGCUCUGAUACCAUAUUAGAAUUCGUAAUAAGAUGUUUGGAAACAAAGAAAAACAGAGAAAAUGAAAAAGGAAACUUCACGAUUUAUUAACCAGAAUAUUCAAUGCUUAUUAAGCUUACUUAGCUAAGCUUAUAUACAAUUAUUCUAACUAAUUAAACAACUGCAAAACAACUAAUAACAACUUCAGAUUUAGUUUAGCCAUUGAGCUCUUGCCACAUGUCAUUCAGUUACAUUCAAUCUUGUCCAGCUCAGCAGCUCUGUCCAGCUCAGCAGCAACUAUAUCUUCAACAACCGAUACCCCCAGUGAUCAUGCCAACUUUGUUGUAAUACCCAUUGUUGGCAUGGGCGGGAUAGGAAAAACAACUCUUGCUCGGGAGGUCUACAAUGACAAGGCCGUUGAAGAUUCAAAGUUUGAUGUAAAAGCAUGGGUUUGUGUCUCUGAUGUCUUUGAUAUUUUGGGCAUCUCAAAGGCACUUCUCGAAUCAAUCACCCGCAGGCCUUGUCUUCUGAACAGUUUAAAUGAAGUGCAGGUUGAGUUGAAAGUAGCUGUGGAUAAAAAAAGAUUCUUGCUGGUCUUAGAUGAUGUUUGGAACGAGGACUACAGCUUGUGGGUAGACUUAAAAGCUCCAUUCUUGGCAGCUGCACCAAACAGUAAGAUGAUCGUCACCACAUGCAAUUCAAAUGUUGCAUCAAUAAUGGGACCAAUUGAACAUUAUAAUCUCAAGAGACUGUUAGAUGAUGAUUGCUGGUCCAUUUUCAUACAGCAUGCACUUGAAUCUAGAGAUCUUAACGCACAUCAAAUUUCAGAAUCGUUCCACAAGAAAGUUGUUGGCAAGUGUGGAGGCUUGCCCCUGGCAGCAAAAACAUUAGCGGGCCUUCUACGUACUACGAGGCAUGAUGCCUGGGACGAUAUCUUGGAUAGCAAACUAUGGGAUUUACCACGACAAAAUGACGUUCUCCCUGUGUUAAGAUUGAGUUACCAUCAUCUUCCGUCUCAUUUGAAAAGAUGUUUUGCUCAUUGUGCCAUCUUUCCGAAAGAUUAUGAAUUCAAUGAGAAGGAGCUGACUUUCUUAUGGAUGGCUGGAGGUAUUAUUCGACAGUCAAGAAAGAAUGAGCAGCUGGAAGAAUUGAGCAGCAAGUGCUUUCAAGAUCUAGUGUCGAGGUCUAUUUUUCAACAAACCAGCUCUGGUAGUGCUAAAUUUGUAAUGCACGACCUUAUCCAUGAUCUUGCUGAAUUGGUUUCUAGAGAAACCAUUUUCAGGUUAGAGGAGUCCACCAACUUGUCAUCAAGAAGAUUUGAAAGGGUUCGCCAUUCUUCGUAUGCCCGUGGUAGGCUUGAUGGUAAAUCUAAGUUCGAGGUUUUCAAUGAAAUUGAACAUCUACGAACAUUCUUGCCAUUAUGCAUAAGAGGUGGCGUUACUUCUGGUUAUAUAACUAGCAUGGUUCUCUAAGAUUUGUUGCCGAAGUUCAAAAGGUUGAGGAUGCUGUCUUUAGACGGAUACCGUAUUAGUGAGUUACCAAUUCCAUUUGAAGAUCUGAGACUUUUAAGGUUCCUAAACCUUGCUGAUACUGACUUAAGAAGUUUACUUGAGUCAACAUGCGCAUUGCUGAACUUGGAAAUUUUGACAUUAAGAAAUUGUUCCCGUUUGAUAAAGCUACCGCCCAAAAUGAUGAACUUGAUCAAUAUUCGUCAUCUCGAUAUAAGAGGUGCAAAUUUGUUGAAGGAGAUGCCAUUCGGAAUGAAAGAGUUGAAGAAUCUUCAAACAUUGUCCAACUUUAUUGUGGGCAAGGGUGAAACUGCAUCUGGUUUGGAAGAUUUAGGAAGUUUAAACUUUCUUUGUGAUGAACUUUGCAUUGCUGGAUUAGAGAAUGUGAAUAAUCCACAGAAUGCAAGAGAAGCCGCAUUAUGUGAGAAGCUCAAUCUUCAUGCAUUGACUCUAGAUUGGGGGUCUCAAUUUGACAAUUCUCGAGAUGUAGCAGUAGAAGAGCACGUGCUUGACAUUCUACAGCCUCAUAAAUGUAUAAAAAAGGUGGCAAUCAGGAACUAUGGUGGUGCAAGAUUUCCACUUUGGAUAGGAGAUCCGUGGUUCUCCAAGAUAUAAUUCCUUGAAUUGGAGAACUGUAACAAUUGUGUAUCUUUGCCAUCGCUUGGUCUAUUGAGUUCACUUAAGCACCUUGCUGUCAAAGGGCUGAAGAAGCUAAAAAGCAUAGAGUCUGAAGUUUAUGGGGAGGGUUUCUCAAUGCCUUUUCCAUCAUUGAAGAUUCUACGUUUUGAGAAUUUGCCAGAGUGGUGGCAUUGGGACACCGAUAUCAAAGGAAAUGUGCACGUUGAUAUAUUUCCUUGUCUCCAAGAACUUUCCGUUGUGAAAUGUCCCAAACUCUCUGAAAAACUGCCUGAGCUUCUGCCCUCCUUGGAGAUACUUGUUGUUAGUAAAUGUGAAAAGUUGGUAGUUUCAUUGUCAAGCUAUCCAAGGCUCUGCAGAUUAGAGGUUGAUGAGUGCAAAGAACUAGUGUGCAGGAUCCCAAUUGAUUCUAAGUUGAUAAAGUUCAUGACUAUUUCAAAUAGUUCAUUAGACAUGAUUGGAUGCAAGGGGAUGCUAUACGAUAGUCAAGCUGGCUCUUCACUGCCAAAACCCAUGACCACUACAAAUGUUUUGGAGUUUGGAAAAUUACUGGAGCCUGGAUUUCAGAUAUUAGAAACUUUGGUAAUUGGCAAUUCUGAACAGCUCAAGCCAUGGAGGCAGGGAAGGGGACUUUCAAGUUUUAAUAGACCAGAACACCGGCUAAAAAUACUUGCUCACCCUGAUGAGGUAACAAUUGAGGAAAGUUGCGUAAGUCUUGUUUUGUUUCCAGAGAUCAAUUUCUUUCCCAGAAAUCUGCACUGUCUUCGAAUUUACAACAGCACUGCUUUCAAAUCCUUACCGGAGGAAAUGAUGGACAACAGUUCACAACUCGAAAGCUUGUAUAUCAAAGAUUGCCAUUCUCUACCAUUCAUCACAAGACGCAAGCUACCUUCAUCUCUAAAAAGGAUAGAGAUUGAGAAUUGUGAGAAAUUGCAACGUUUGUUCGAUGAUAAAGACGAUGCUUCUUCUUCUUCUCCUUCAUCCUCGUCUUCCCAAGUGAUGCUUCAACAUCUAAGUAUAAAGAAUUGCCAAGCGCUCUCCAGUUUGUCAUCGGGAAUUCAAUUACUUGAGUCGCUCGAAGAACUUGUGAUAACAAAUUGUCGAAAGCUGGAGUCAAUACCCGAUGGCCUGCACAAUCUUAACUGUUUACAGAAGAUUACUCUAGUGAGUUGUCCAAGUCUUGUUUCCUUCCCAGAAAGAGGGCUUCCCAACGCCAUUUCAUGGGUUGACAUUAGUUAUUGUGACAAGCUUGAAGCCCUGCCCAAUGACAUGCACAAACUCAACUCUCUCCAAACUUUAAGCAUAAUUCAAUGUCCAAAGCUUGAGUCGUUUCCAGAAGAAGGCUUUCCCACCAAUCUUAGAACGCUUAAAAUUGGAAAUUUCAAAAUGUACAAGACCCUCGUCCAGUGGGGGUUGCACAGGCUUUCCUCUCUCAGAAGCCUCUACAUUUAUGGAUGUCAUGAAGCAGAGUGUUUUCCAGACGAGAAGGUAGGAAUGACGCUGCCCACAUCUCUAACUCAUCUGUCCUUAUUGGGAUUCCAGAAAAUGAUACUUCUGUCUUCAGUGGGUUUCCAAAGACUCACGUCUCUUCAAUGUUUGAAGAUAUGGAAUUGCCCAAAUCUCACGUCAUUUCCAGAGGUAGGCCUUCCAUCCUCACUUUUGGAUUUAUACAUUAACAAUUGUCCUAGGCUUAAAAAGGCGUGCAAAAGGGACCAAGGAAAAGAGUGGCCCAAAAUUGCUCACAUCCCUUGCGUUGUGAUAGAUGGAAAAUUCAUAUACGAUCCAGAAUUGGAGGUGUAGAUUCUAUUAUUAAAGUCGGUUUAUUUAUAUUAUCCACUAUAACAAUCUCCUAUUAGUUUUUUUUUUUUUUUUUUAAUGAAAAAAAUUGCAGUUCUGUAUAAUUUAAAAUAUAUAUAUUAAUCCUCUGCCCUUAAUUGAAAAUACCACUCACUUGUUUCUGUUUUCACAAGUCAGAUUGUACGUUGAGGCUAUUUGCUUUUUAUCGGUGUUUGUUAAGGUAAUUAGUGUCUCAUAGGCUGAUUAUAGGCAGAUGAAAUUAUAACUUUUAACUUAAAAUUUAAUACCAUAGACAGAUAGAUGAUUUUUAAUCCAAAGGUUUUUAGAUGUGAUCAAAUUGUCACAUGCAUAACAUAUUAGGCAUGCAUGAUGUAUCACAAGGUUGAUACAUCUUAUAUGCCACGUGAUGAAAUUAAGGAUGUUUCUCUUACAAGGGACACAUCCUUACAUGUUCAAAUUUGAACAUGUAACUUCCAAGUGGUUAAUGGAAGUUACUUGUUCAAAAUUCGAACAUAUAACUGUCAUAUUGUUGCCUAUAUAGAGGCAUGAACGCAUCACAAAUUCAUACAUUCCAAGACAUACUUAAAGUCUUAUCAUAUUAUGAUCUUGCAGUUUUGCAUGUAGCCACCAGCCUAAGGGCAGUGUAAAACGAUCCCAAAAACCAUCAAUAAUAACAAUGGAUAUAGUUCCUAAAUAAACUGAUGAAAUUUAAGGAUGAUUGGAUGAAACAGCUAUGAUAAAAUGAACUAUCUCGAACCGAGCGAAUGGCACUGACUCAUGAAUAAGUGUGGAUUCCAAAUAUCUUCAUAUCUUCAUAGAUAUUCAUUUCCGUGUUAAUUCGAGGACUUCUAGAAAUUUAGUUAGUUAUUCUAUGAAAUAGAUAUACUAAUAAUAAUAAAACAAAAACGACGGGUGUUACACAAAUUCACAAGUAAAACUGUACUACUUGGAAACUGUGAACAGUAUAGAUUGAAGAUCAUACGAUUGCUAUUUUCAUUGAGUUUCAUGCAUAAAACUUUAUCGAUUAUUAAAUUAGACAUCUUUAUCUUUCUAUCCAUAUGUUUAUUGUUCAAAAACUUAUUGUAUAUUAAUUGUUUUGAUUUUUAAAAAUUGAAACACUGGUGCUGGAAAAUUCUGAUUUUCAGUAGCGAUUCUCAAUUCUAUAAUUUAUUUCAUAACUCCAAAUACUUCUGAAAAUUCUGGGAAUUUUUAUUACUGUACACUUAUAUGUCUAGUUUCUGUCUUUUUAAUUUCGUAAUUUUUGGCUUUAUAUAAAAAUCAUAGAGUUAGACUGCGCAAUCCCAGAAACUGUUUUCCAGAAUUGCGAGGGCUGAUAUUUAGGGCAGUUUGGGAUAGUUUUUCAUCAGUAAAUGUCUUAUAAAUCUUUAAUUCUGACUCCUAUUGUUUCCUCUAAUUGUCAAAACUAGAAUCACUAUUUUUGGACAUGUGUAACUAAAGUUAUAAAUUUUUCAAGCAACAGUCCUCUGUUUAUAUCGUUAUUGGACAGUUUGGAUAAUUUUGUGGAAAAAUAAGUUUUCAGGGGAUGUUUUUAAACUCUAAUUGAUUAUGUAAAAAUUUAAAUUGAAUGCCAAUAUGUUGACAAUAGUGUUUUGUGAUAUUUGUGAUAUUUCCGACGUACUUAUAGCUUGUUAGAAAUCAGCUCCUAUAUAAUGGUCUAGUAUAGUUUAGUGAAUUGAUGUGCUUAAGUAAGAGUGCAUGGUUUAAGGAUUUUUGGAUUUUCCUAUCUAGGUCAGAAUUGAAUAAGAUAUUGAUAGUACUUUUUUCUUAACAAUCAUAGGCCAAAAGUGAGCUCGUUUGAUUUGGGUUAUUGUUGAUUGCUUUGUAUCAUGGUAAGUAAAUUCAUGCAUAAUAUUUAUUAAAGUAUACACGUAAAUAUUUAUUAAUAGAAUAAUGUUGUCCAAAUGGAUUGGCAAGUUAUGGUUUUGAAGUUAUUUUAAAAUGUUUUCUUAAAUUUGUUUUAAAAAUAACUUCAAAAUACCUGCUUCUCUAUAAAAUGUUUUCCUUAAAAAUAUUUGUAAAGCUUUGCCAAUUCAAUGUCUUGUAAGCGUUUUAUCGAAAUAUUAUGGAAUGAUUGAUAUUGGAAAUCUGAAAACUGUUUUUAAGGUUUUGGCUCAUUGUCCGUAGUUAUCGUUACUAAUAUUACUAAAUAGCUAGUUGUAUUGUGCGCACCUAUUGACGAUUAUUGCAGGGUAAAGUACCCUGGUAGAACUAUAAGUUGGGUCACCGAGAUUAUAGGUGACAUAUUGAACUAUUGACCAGGUCACCGGGGGUAUAAGUGACACUAUGUGAUAUGAGUAAAUUGAAUGAAAGAAAAGUUUUAUUGAUAAAAGAUUUCUUACACGAUUAUUUAUUGAAAAUGAUUAUUAUGCUAUGACUUAAUUGAUUAUGAGUUUUACCGCACACAUAUGAUUACAAAAUGAUUUUUGUUUCCUAACUUGUGGUACUACAUAAUAAUGAUUAUAUACUUUUUUCCUUAUUGGUAACCUUAUGCAUGAGUUCGCUUACCGAUUGACGGCUCACCCCUCGUCUCCAACAUUUUAUAGAUUGAUUUUAGUGAUGUGCGCUUUUGGUCUAGCAAAGAGGAUUUAGCUGAAAAACUUUGGCAUUUUCUAGAUGAAUUAAUUGUAGCUAGUUUGAUUAUUGCUUAGAGCUAGAUUUUAUUUUGGAGGAUUUUUGAGUUAUUUUUUAUUUUAGAGACUAUGUUUUGUCAAUGAACAACAUUGACUUUAUUUGAAAAUAGUAAUAAGAUUAAUGUUAUAAGGUUUCAUUUGGGGUGUUACAACUUGUCUCUUAGUAAGUUUAUUUUUGUUAGCCUAUCCAGUAAGGUUUAUUAUCGACUGACAUCAUUUUCAAUGAAAUCAUCUUAUGUUGUUAAGUUUUGCAUAAAUAAAUAUUUCAGUAGGGUCAAAAGAGCAAGAGUUUACCUAUAAAAAAAAAGUCAAAAUUAGUUUAACCACCCCAGUGCGAAUUUCUGACCACGUCUUGCUUUGUAUGAUUUAACUCUAUUAUUAAUUAGUACUAAAAUAUCGAUGAAAAAAAUGGACAUGAAUUUUGAUCUCGUGUUGCUUUGUUUUGGUUGAGUGGCCAAUUUUAACUUCAUGUUAAACUUUCUCAAUUAUUAGUUGAAUUAUUUGGAUUUGAAAACUUAAAACCACCAUUUUAAUUUGUUUAGUAAUGACUAUGUUGAACUUCAACAUUUGUUUUCAAGAAAAAAAUUGAUCAAACUAUGAUGCUCUUGUUUCUAUUAUUAUGGAAUCUCUUUUUCAAUCGUCAAAGUUUGAAUUAUAUUAUGCUGCCUCUGUAUUUCCGCAGAAACAGAAUCAGUUGGUGAUCCUUCAAAACAAGAAAAACCAAAAAAAGAUGUAGUGCGUGAUAAGAUAAUGAGACAGAUGGCUCAUGUUGACAUUAAUACUCAAGUUGGAAGUUGCAUGCCCCUUGCUUGUAUGCGGACUGGGACCAUCAUCCACAAAAUUGAGGUAUACCCGGCUGAAGGUGGCAAGCUAGUUCGAGCCGCUGCGACGUCAGCCAAGAUUUUGAAGAAGACCCACUUCAAGGUACUGCUUAGUAAGGCUAACUUCUGGAAAUGAGAAACUGAUUGACGCUAGAUGUCGAGCCCACCAUUGGUACAGUGUCUAACCCCAGCCAUGGAGCUACGAAGCUUAGGAAGGCUGGUCAGAGCCGUUGGUUGGGUCGAAGGCCUGUGGUUGGAGGAGUAGCCAUGAAUCCAGUUGAUCAUCCUCAUGGUGGAGGUGAGGGACGAAGCAAAAGUAGCCGUAACCAUGGAAGGUGUUCACUUACGCCUUGGGGCAAGCCUUGUAAUUCUGGGUAUAAAACUGCAUUUCCUAAGGGAAAAAAAAAAAGAAAAAGAAAUUACCCGUCUGAUAAUAUUUUCCUUCUUUGCUAUUUAGCCUUUUUAAUAAUGUUACAUUGUUUGUCAUAUAUUUGAGGUUAGUUUUAGACCAAUUUUUAACUGAUCCAUAAUGAAACUGAAGUUUAAUUUUCUAUUGAACUUUUCCUGGUUUUACUCUUCUGUCAUUUCAAUUUAGCAAUGAUUUAAGAUGUUGAGUUCUGUGCUUGGAACAUGUAAAUGGGAAAGAGAGAUAUAAUGGGGUAGAAUAUAGAUUUUGUGUUUUGGUUUCUCAUGUUUAGAGAUAUUCUGUUCUUUUUCAUUUGUUCAAUUUGGUUAGUGGUGAUUUCUUAAAGAGUCGAUGCACGUGUGUAUAUAUACUUUUCUUUUGGCCUUGAUUCUGUUUCUUGGGGAGUUUAUGCAGUUUCUUUUUUUAUGCUUCGUAUGCCACAUGAAAGAUGAAAGCAUUUUGUGUAUUUAGAAUUGACUUGCAUCAUAGUAACUUUGAAUCACUGUUAACAUUUGUAUAAUAGCAGUCUGAGAUCUCCUUGAAGGAUUCAAAAGCAUUUUAUUUGAUGGUCUAGACCUAAAAUCAACUCCUUUAUAUAGAUAGGUUGGUCUUCUUCAAAGCAAUUCCUAUUUUAAGUAAUCAAAAUUUUGAUUUGGAAGUGUGUUUUAACACUACCAAAAGUUCUUUAAAUACUAAAAAUGUGUUUGGGAGUGAGGUGAUGUGGCUUUUAAGCUACAAUUACUGCAAAGUAAAAGUCAGUGAGUAUAAAUAAGAAAAAAUGACUGUUGAGUUGCCAAAGCCCAACUGCCGCACAUCACUUCCAAAUGCACCGUAAAAUGAUUUUGAGUCUUCUAUAUUAUUGAAACAAAAUACAUGAAAGCACUUUUGGCUACAGAAGUACACUUGGGGUUCUUUAUAAAAUUCUUCGACAGCAAUUUUUCCCCCUUUUUGCUCAUGGCGGUUUUUCUGGUUGUUCUUUUAAGAAAACACUUAAAGGUUCUUUUUAUAGAUUUCUGAAAGUACUUCCAACAUAAGCAUUUUUCAGAAAUUUUUUCUGAAAUUAAUUUUAUUUACUUAUCGACUUUUCAACUCCUGUGGUUGUUUAUGAAAUGAAAGGCAAGGGUAAUCACAAGAAAUCUGCAAACUUUAUCAAUUUUUAACUAUACCAAUUUGUUGUUUAUGCUUUACUUUUAUUUUACAGUUUUGUUUAAUGUUUAGAUGAUAGAUAUAUAGACAUUUUAGAUUGGAGAAUUUUGUCAACAAAUUCAUUCCUUUCUUUCACUUUUUCCCUUUUCAGAGGAAAGCAAUUUUGACUAAUUUUAGCCAGAAUCGGACUAUAAUAUUUUGGAGCAAGCCUACUUGAAAUGAUGCUUUUUAAAUUUGAUCUAGUUAAAAUACACUGCCGUUACCCAAAAAAUUCUAGUCUUGGAUUUCAUAGAAUGCCCUUUUAAGAUAUUUUCUCAGCUCUUUGUUGGUCGCAGCAUCUGAGAUUAGCAUUCUCACAUUUCACUUGUUUUGCCUUUGUUUUGAAGGUAACUUAGUUGCAUAGGUGAAUCGAGGUUCAAGAAUGCCGAGAUGGCUACAAGUUUCAAGAAUCAUUUAAAGAGGCGUAAUGACAGCACCAAGAUGGGCUUUGUGAUUAACAAGAUUACUAAUUGAACCAAUCUUGAUGGGACAGAGGACAUGUCAGAACCGUUGCGCACAGGGAGAAGAGUUAGGGGAGCUUUGAGAGUUGAGACCAUCAACAUCCAGAAAGGCUGCUGGUAAUGUUUCAUGUGUUACAAAGUUGCAAGGAAAUUUCAUUUAUAUUUUAACACCUUGUAUUUGAAAAAUUUAAUGUAAUUUUCUCUUUUUUCAAUUUAUUAUUCAGAUCGUAGACUAGUAAACGGUUUAGAUCGCAAGCUUUUAUUAUGCAGUUAUUUUCUCCUUUUCAGGAAGAAGUGGUCAGUUCCAUUCCAGAAUUGGAAUAUGGUAAUUAGGUGCAAGCAUACGUUGUAACAAUCAUUUCUUGUUUGUUUGAUUAUGCUUAUCUAUUUAGUUGUUUAUCGUUUGGUUGUGUUAAAUUAUUUGAAUUAGCAUUAUUUGAGAUAAAGCAUAAUUCUUUUAUUUAUUUAUUUAUUUUUUAAAUAAAUUAUUAUAGAAUAUCGUCUUUAUCGUAUAAUGUAUUUUUAUAAAAGUAAGCAUUUUUAUAAAAUUUAAACUCUUCCAAUCUCCUUAUGAUUAAAACCCUUAACCUAAUAAACGUAUAAAAGCAAAGAGUCCUAGGAUUUUCUUUUGUGCACAUUUGGAAGAAUUUUUGAGGUAAUUAUCCUUCUCUAAAACAUAUUCUCUAAUCUUAGGUGUUUAAUGAUGAAUGCAUGCAUUGUUUUUUUAAUCAUGAAUGACUAGCUAGACAUUAUGAGGCAUGAGUACUGUGAUUCUAUUACUGUUUUCCCUUUAUUUUUUAUUCAGGUUUUCACUAAAGUUUUCAUAAAAUUAAACUAGACAUUUUAAGGCUUUCAAUGAUAUAUUUUGUACGAAAAGAUUACCAGUAACCAAUUUGUUGUGAAUUUUCGAAUUCAGAACAGUGGUGCUGGAAAAUUCUGAUUUUCAGCAGCAUGUUUGACUUUGCCCAUUUUUCUGUCUGUCUAAAUGAUCCCUAAAAUUAUGCUGAUUUUUCUAUUAAAUCCUCAUUAUGUCUACUUACUAUAUGUUCACUUUCAUAAUUUUCAUUGAGUAAAAAAAAAAUUAAAAAUCAUUAUGUUGGGCUGCUGCAGUUUUGGAAACUGCUUUCCAGAAUUGCGAUGGCUGACAAUAAAAUUACUUUAGGCUAUUAAAAGGCUUUAGAAUGGCCUAUAAAAAUUAUAUUCAUAUAAUUUAUGAAUUCCUUAUGAUUUAAAGUUUAUUUGACUAAUUUUGAUAGUUAACAUUAAGUUAUGAAUUUUUCAAGUGCAAAACAUAAACCUGAAUGUUUCUGGACAGGUUUGCUGGUCUCUUAAUAUAAAUUCGUUUAAAAUAGUGUCAUAUCUUCAAAAAUUCUAGGAAUUUGAAGCUUUGUUUCUUGAUGCAUCUACUGUUUUAAAAUCAAGUGGUCUAAUUUUUAAGAGUUCUAUUAAAUAUUUUACAAAUUUUCCAGUUCAGCAACCUCUGUUUUUAUCACUGUUGGACAGUCUGGAUAUGCAUGUAAAAUUCUUUUUGCAAUAUGUUUGACUUUUAUUCAUUCUUUUGAAUUUUUAUUUGAAAUGUUAUCCAUGUUUAUGGUUUAUUUUCUUUGAUUUUACAAUUUUCCAACAUUUGAUUAGCUUGGUAAAAAUCGGCUCAGACUAGCUUUAAUGGUUUAGUGCUUAUGACUAGGCUUGAUUAUGUUAGAUUUAUAUCAAGAUCAGAAUGAGUAAUAGUAUUGAUAAGAAUGUGUCUUGAUAUUUUAGGACGAGAUUGAGCUCGAGGCUAAGGUUACUAUUCUUUAUUGUUGAGGAUUGAGAUAAGUAGAUUCAUGCAUGGUAUAUGUAUUUCACUAUUAAAUUAUUUUUAAUUCGAGGUAUCUAUUAUGUUAAAUGAAAAGUAUUUGAAACUAAUUUGUUUUAGCCUAUUACAAUAUUUUGUUAAAAUAAAAUCGUUCUUUAAAUUAUUUAUAAUAAACCUUUUAUUUAUUAAAAACUUGUUUUAUAAAUUGUCUUAAAAAAACUUUUAUUAAAUUGUUUUAAGUCAAAUACUUUGAAAUAAUUAUCAAUUAUUUAAAUGAUUAAAAGUUCAAGGAUGAUUUUAAAUGUUUUUGCUCAUUGUCUGUAAUGAUGCUAUGUUAUGUUAUAUGUUGUGGAAGGCUAGUUGGAAUAUGUGUACAUAUGAUGUUAAUGUUAAUGAUUCUCGUGGGGUACAGUACUCUAAAUGAUGUCAUACGGAUGGGUCACUGGGUCUACAAGUGAUACUAUGUGGAAUGAGCUAAGUAUGUUUUAUGUAUUUAAAAAGCUAAUUAUGUUUUACAUGUUUGAAAUGCUAUUAUUAUGUUUAAAGGAUUUAAAUGACUUUCUGAUGUUUUGAUUUAUUUUUUAUAAAUGAUUAUUUACAAAAGUAAUUUCCCUUAUUAUUAUUAUGCAUAUCUAAGAAAUUCAAACAAUUAUAAUUUAAUGGUUUUUAGUAUUGUGCAUGAAUUUACUUACCGAGUUGACGGCUCACCCCUUGUUAUCAUAUUUUUGUAGAUAGAGUUAGAUGAUGUGAGCUCAUGAUCUUAGGAGGAAGAAUGAGAGCUCGUUUAUUUUUGGGGAUUAAUGUUACAUUAAUAAUUUAGCUUCCUUUGGCAUGAUAUUUAUUUGAGAAUUUGUUAUUUCAUUACUUAUUAUCUUUUGGAAGAGGAGCAUUUACUGUUGGAUAUUAAUUUGAUGAUUUUAGAUACGAGAGUGAUGAAAUACAGUUUCACUUCAAUUUCACUUUAGUAUCUUAUUAGUGGAAUUGGGGUGUUACAUACGUGCCCGGUCAAUGAACUUGAACUUUAAAUAGUUUUUUCAACUCAUUGAUUUUUGGAACUCAUAUUGGUGCAAGGAAAUCAAAAGAAAUUUAUGAUUAGUCAAAUUCUGAUAGUUGCUAUAUAUUAUACAUUCUAAAGUUUCUUGAGUUUGUUUUCAGAUGAAAAUAUGAUCAAUUCAUUUUGUUUUUGAAGUGUAGGAAAAUAGGCUGGGAUAUUAAUGCAUAGGCAAAAACUUUUUGAGUGGCUUUCCAGCGGAUAAUUAUCGGAAACAUGACUGGAUUUUUUGACUUCCGUAAAUCUUGCAUUUUAACCUGGCAAAUUUAACAAAAGUUCAAUACAACUUUGUUAGUGCCUUGUGUUCCAGAAGCUAGAAAGAUGUGUAGAUUCCAUAUAAGCGGGCUUGUAAUUACUCUAGUAAGAAUCCAAUUAUUUGCCUUUGCACCUUCAUUUUAUUUGUGGAUCCUUGCAUGUUUCUGAAUUUGAUCAAUCCAAAAGGAAUUGCUCUGAAGAAUAGCAGUAACUAGCCUAUGUCUUAGUGCAUGGACCUGCAAACCUGAGCUGACAAAGCUGAAACUAUUAGUUUGAGGUGACAAAUCCAUGAUCGUCACCUGUUAACUUCUGCUAGUUGCUUUCGUGAAACACUUUUAAGAAAUAAGCAAUUUGUUGUUAGUCGCCGUAUCUGAUGUGCUUUCUUUUAUAGUUUGUAGAAUCAACUGUAUUAUAUGUUGUCAGUUGCAGUAUCUGAGGUGUCUUUUGCAAUUUACUUGACCUUUAUUUGUUUGCUAGUGAGUUAAGAAUACCAACAUUGGCCAGAGAUUUGGAGAAACAUCCGAAGACGCUUAACAAACUUGGAGAUGCACUUGCUUCCAAGCUUCAUUCAUCACAAUGCGAAUCCGGUGAGUACUUAUGUCUUCAAUUAUGUAGAGUGUUUGAAAUUUUGAUGCAGCGAGAUGGUUUGUUGAUGCAAAACUUUAUACUGUUAAGGACUUACCCUGCAGGCUUUUUGCAUGUUGUAUCAACUCCAAAAUCCAACGAGAACUACAGCACCAAAGCCCAGUUUUCACUGAUUCAAUCAGCUGAAAUCAUGAGGGAAAUAACAGUAUAGCACCAUCAAGCUGGACUUAGAGAAUAAUCAGAUCAGUCAUCCAUUUCAUGAACUGUUAAUUUCAUGAUGGAGGCUUAGUGGAGCUGAAGAGGAAACAAGGAUGUGUAGGGAUCAACAAACAACAGUGAGAAGCACGAUUGGAGCUCUGAUUACAAAUAGACAAUUUAAAAAUAUGUGCUGGUAAGUGGAAAUUAAAGAAAUUUGUGAGCUCAUUCAAGUUUCGGUAUUUUCUUUUUGGAUAACGUUGAUACCAAGUUUGGCAAAUCUGUGUUUUCUGCGUUUAAUCUGUGUUUUGGUUAAAGUAGAUGCUCUGAUUAAUACUUGUUUGUUUUCAUAAAACAGGACAAAAAGAGAUCACCAAUCUUGAUUGAGAAUUCAUUUAAGUAAAAUUUCAAAAAUUGCCAAACACAGUAUAAACUAGGAUGCACUUGCUUAAGAUUCAUUUUCAGACGGAAGUUUGUACCUCCAGAUCAUAAAAUCAUGUUUAUGUUGUAUCUUUAUUCAGCAAUUGAAAGAUUCCAAGUUUGCUGAAACCAUAUUAUUUCUUUCCCAGGCGCUUUCCUGAAGGUAUCGACAUCUAUUUCGAAAAUGUUGGGGAUAAGUUGCUUGAUGCAGUGCUACAAAACUAUGAAGGAUUUCUUGUCGGUGAUUACUACCACCUGGAUAAAAAAUUCAUGGAACUGGUCAUGCCGGCAAUAAAAGAAGGAAAGGUGGUA